rnacentral:rRNA from 1 species
AAUCAGUGCUGAAAAUCGUCUCUCAUCCGCCAAAACAUCUUCGGCGUUGUAAGGUUAAGCCUCACGGUUCAUUAGUACCGGUUAGCUCAACGCAUCGCUGCGCUUACACACCCGGCCUAUCAACGUCGUCGUCUUCAACGUUCCUUCAGGAGACCUAAAGUCUCAGGGAGAACUCAUCUCGGGGCAAGUUUCGUGCUUAGAUGCUUUCAGCACUUAUCUCUUCCGCAUUUAGCUACCGGGCAGUGCCAUUGGCAUGACAACCCGAACACCAGUGAUGCGUCCACUCCGGUCCUCUCGUACUAGGAGCAGCCCCCCUCAGUUCUCCAGCGCCCACGGCAGAUAGGGACCGAACUGUCUCACGACGUUCUAAACCCAGCUCGCGUACCACUUUAAAUGGCGAACAGCCAUACCCUUGGGACCUACUUCAGCCCCAGGAUGUGAUGAGCCGACAUCGAGGUGCCAAACACCGCCGUCGAUAUGAACUCUUGGGCGGUAUCAGCCUGUUAUCCCCGGAGUACCUUUUAUCCGUUGAGCGAUGGCCCUUCCAUUCAGAACCACCGGAUCACUAUGACCUGCUUUCGCACCUGCUCGCGCCGUCACGCUCGCAGUCAAGCUGGCUUAUGCCAUUGCACUAACCUCCUGAUGUCCGACCAGGAUUAGCCAACCUUCGUGCUCCUCCGUUACUCUUUAGGAGGAGACCGCCCCAGUCAAACUACCCACCAGACACUGUCCGCAACCCGGGUAACGGGUCCACGUUAGAACAUCAAACAUUAAAGGGUGGUAUUUCAAGGUCGGCUCCAUGCAGACUGGCGUCCACACUUCAAAGCCUCCCACCUAUCCUACACAUCAAGGCUCAAUGUUCAGUGUCAAGCUAUAGUAAAGGUUCACGGGGUCUUUCCGUCUUGCCGCGGGUACACUGCAUCUUCACAGCGAGUUCAAUUUCACUGAGUCUCGGGUGGAGACAGCCUGGCCAUCAUUACGCCAUUCGUGCAGGUCGGAACUUACCCGACAAGGAAUUUCGCUACCUUAGGACCGUUAUAGUUACGGCCGCCGUUUACCGGGGCUUCGAUCAGGAGCUUCGCUUGCGCUGACCCCAUCAAUUAACCUUCCGGCACCGGGCAGGCGUCACACCGUAUACGUCCACUUUCGUGUUUGCACAGUGCUGUGUUUUUAAUAAACAGUUGCAGCCAGCUGGUAUCUUCGACUGACUUCAGCUCCAUGAGUAAAUCACUUCACCUACGUGUCAGCGUGCCUUCUCCCGAAGUUACGGCACCAUUUUGCCUAGUUCCUUCACCCGAGUUCUCUCAAGCGCCUUGGUAUUCUCUACCUGACCACCUGUGUCGGUUUGGGGUACGAUUUGAUGUUACCUGAUGCUUAGAGGCUUUUCCUGGAAGCAGGGCAUUUGUUGCUUCAGCACCGUAGUGCCUCGUCGUCACGCCUCAGUGUUAAAGUGAACCGGAUUUACCUGGAACACACACCUACACGCUUAAACCGGGACAACCGUCGCCCGGCCAACAUAGCCUUCUCCGUCCCCCCNNNNNNNNNNNNNNNNNNNNCCCCCCUUCGCAGUAACACCAAGUACGGGAAUAUUAACCCGUUUCCCAUCGACUACGCCUUUCGGCCUCGCCUUAGGGGUCGACUCACCCUGCCCCGAUUAACGUUGGACAGGAACCCUUGGUCUUCCGGCGAGCGGGCUUUUCACCCGCUUUAUCGUUACUUAUGUCAGCAUUCGCACUUCUGAUACCUCCAGCAACCCUCACAGGCC